rnacentral:rRNA from 1 species
UACGUAGGGGGCAAGCGUUAUCCGGAAUUACUGGGUGUAAAGGGAGCGUAGACGGUUAGGUAAGUCUGGAGUGAAAGGCGGGGGCCCAACCCCCGGACUGCUCUGGAAACUAUCGGACUAGAGUGCAGGAGAGGUAAGCGGAAUUCCUAGUGUAGCGGUGAAAUGCGUAGAUAUUAGGAGGAACACCAGUGGCGAAGGCGGCCUGCUGGACUGUAACUGACGUUGAGGCUCGAAAGCGUGGGGAGCAA